rnacentral:hammerhead_ribozyme from 1 species
ACACUGCUGACGAUUCUCAAAAUAGGAUGAAACGGCCGUCCAGUAU